rnacentral:rRNA from 1 species
UCGAGGAUCAUUCGCAAUGGGCGAAAGCCUGACGGUGCGACGCCGCGUGGAGGAUGACGGCCUUCGGGUUGUAAACUCCUGUCAUCAGAGAGUAAAGCUUUGCGGUGAAUAGCCGCGGAGUCUGAUAGUAUCUGAAGAGGAAGGGACGGCUAACUUCGUGCCAGCAGCCGCGGUAAUACGAAGGUCCCAAGCGUUGUUCGGAAUUACUGGGCGUAAAGCGUGUGUAGGCGGCAGGGCAAGUCAGAUGUGA